GAGUCGGAAAAAAAAGAGGGCACCAUUCUUAGUGAGCGCUUUCUUUCGGUCUGUGAAUGCUGAGAACACAUUUGACCAAAAGAAAGAAACACCCAGGAAACUACACUCAUCGAUCCAGGAAUUUCUGUUGUUAUUAUUCUUAUUAAUAUCAUAUUUUCAUGAGCGCCCGCAGCCUAAUGAGCGGCAUCACAGAUGAGAGACUUUUUAAAACUACGACACUUUAGUAUUUUGGAUUGUGUUGACGUUUAAUUAAGUGCAAAUAAGAGUGAAGAUGGCACAGAAGGAGGGGACCGUCGCAGGGGACAACUUGGGGGCCAAAGGCGUCCCCGUCGGCCCCGCGCCGGGGACCGUCGCGGGCGGCGUGGUGGUGGCCGUCCGCGAGAAGAAGGGAACCCUUAGGGCCGCCAUACCCACAAUGCCUUUCCCUCUGGCGGUCGUCUGCCUCUUCCUCAACACCUUCAUACCCGGACUAGGUACCUUCAUCUCAGCUUUCACGGUGCUGUGCGGCGCCCGCAGCGAGCUGGCGGCCCAGCGCGGCGUCUGUUGCGUCUUUUGGCUCAACGUGGCGGCGGCGCUCAUCCAGGUGGCGACGGCCGUCAUCAUGGUGGGCUGGAUCAUGAGCAUCUUCUGGGGCAUGGACAUGGUCAUCCUCGCAAGUCAGUCACAACGCUGACAUUUAUUUGCACAUUCAACUGAAAUUAAACACCAGAUGAAAAGUCAGUUUUGUUCUUUUUGAGUUACAUAGACAGGAACAACGUCUCCUUUUUAUACUGCACUCACUAAAACAAAAAAAUGACAUGGUUCUAAUUAACGUACCAUGCAUUUUAUGAACAGAUUCCAACUCAUCAAAGCAAAAAAUGUGCGUCUAGUGUGUGACGUGUGCUAUUACUUUCACAGCUGAAAUUCUUAGUUCUUAGCGAUUAGGGCUGGGUGAAAAAAAAUGAAAAAUUCGGCUAAGUCGACACAAAAUUUCUGCCGCAAAGAUCCGCCGGGACCGAAAAAAAAGCAAGAAAACGGCCAGAACCCGUGUUUGCGCCGCCGGAACCCAUGUUUCACACAAACAUUUAUUCCAGACCAAUUUUGCCAAAAAGGACAACGGAACAUCUGUACGUGAUUUUUAAGACACCUGUACAUGUGCAAUGUACAUAUAACAUGAUAAGUAUGAGUAAACUGAACAGUAGCUAGCGUUUGACUGAAAAUGGUAAUCGCCAGCACGCUAAUGCUAAUAGCGAAUGCUAACCGUUUAGCAUUUUGCGGUCUAAAACCGAAUUUAUACCAGACACUCAGUACCAACAUGUGCAGUUUUAAGGAUAGUAGUCCAUCCCUUAUAAAUGAGAAUAGAAUGCAUGUUAGUGGUUGAAAAAAAAAAAAAAAAUUCUAGUAAUAGUGGGGUGGGUGAUUAUUAUUCGAUUAUUUGAUCCAUCAUCAAUAGGAGAAUCGAGAAUCUAAAAAGAUUGGCUAGUGACAGCCCUAAUUGCUAGGAUAGGUGGUAACUGUCUGGUUUUGGUUUGUCUUCCCUCUUUUUCUGCUUCUCUCUCUCUCUCUCGUAAUCAGUUGAUGUCACUGCUCCCCUCCCUGAUGAUCAAUCCAUUCUUGUCUUCCUCUGCCUCCGCCUAAUGAGCAUCCUUCCCCUCCUCGCGCACGCUCGCCUGCCGUCUCUACCGCAUCUUUUUUUGCCGUAUCUUUUGCCCUCAUGUUAAUUCCUCCCACGUCGCUUUUUCAUCCACGCUCCCCCCUCCCCCACCCGGGCGUGAUCCGACGAAUGCGGUUUGUGCGUGUGUGAUGUUUCAGCUUGUCAGGUGAUGUUUCAGCCUGUCAUGGUGGUGAUGUUCAAGCACUAACGGUCUCUUUCCUCUCUCCCACGUCUUCUUCCUGAAGUUUCUGACGGCUACAGAGAUCAGGACGUCCCGCAGGACAUCUGAGAGGAUUCGAUGGCGUGGGCUCGGGGGGUGGGGCAACGUUUGGACAGCCCCGCCCCGAAACACGGCCGAGACCUUUUCGCUAUUAGAGGCGUCUAGUCUACCACGUUGGAGUCAAAGAAAGGCUGGGAAUGAGCUGUAAAAAUGUUAGCCAGCUAGCGAGCUAGCCGCGACAUGCUAGCCUUGAGGUUAAACGGAAAAAGGUCCUUACAAAGAAACACAGGUGUACUUCCGUAAAUAUUUAAUCAAUGUUUUUUUUUUUCCUUUUACAUCAUUGUUUCCCAACCUUUAUUGAGCCAAGGCAUACAUUUUCCAUUACAAACAUCUCAUGGCACACCACCCAAAAUUUUACAAAAGUGUAUAUCGUGGUGGCUUGAGGUACAAGCGACCCAACAUUUUUGGCCAAUAUUUCUGCUAGCUUAAUGUUAACAUAGACAGGUUAAUGAAUAGCAUCGACAGUCACAACGAUAUUUUAACACAAAUGGUGCAUCAACACAUGCAUACAGACAAUAUAAGAAUACUCACAGGGAAAUAUUCUUUAUCCUCUGCGAAAAACGACUAGUAAUAGUACUGCAGCUUGUGACAGUCUUGUUCGUUUGUUUGCAUGACUGUGUUAUACUGCCCCCCCUGUGGCCAAGUCACGCACACCAAAAGGAACCGCAAUGGAGGAAUAAUGCACAAACUGUUUCAUUCUUCACAUUCUAUUUAAUUGUUAGUGUCUUUAAAAUGUACAAUAUUCUAAAAUUAUAUUUCAACUAAAAAAAAAACAAACAAAAAACAUUUUGCAAUAUUUUGUGUUGGGUUGUUUGAGGCGGUCGGAACGGAUUAAUGGCAUUGGUCACGAAAGGGUCGUUUUGGCCAUUUCCAAGGAGCCUUCAAAAACAAACUACUACAGAUUUGGUCCAACCGCUACAAAAUACUACACAGAUGGUCAACACCAAGUUGUGAAGAAUUUGAGUAUUUGGCACGGCAGAUAGCUUGACCAAGUUUUACAUACUCAAACAAACAAAACAAGACAAAAAAAAACCAAAAAAAAACACAGAACGUUACAAAGACGUAUCCAACACAUAAAGCAACAAAAAUGAAUUUAAAAAAACUAGGCUGGGAAACUCAAAUGUGGUGCUGUUGUUUUGCUGGUUGAAAAUAUCCCAGUGUUCUUGCAUGCAUUUUUUUUUUUUUACUGUAAACAAACACAAAGUUGUGUAGCUGAAUUCAUAAAUGAAUAAAUCUUGAUAUUAAAACAAUUAAAAUCA